rnacentral:rRNA from 1 species
CCUACGGGAGGCAGCAGUAGGGAGUAUUGCUCAAUGGGCGAAAGCCUGAAGCAGCAACGCCGCGUGUGCGAUGAAGGCCUUCGGGUCGUAAAGCACUUUUCUGAGAGAUGAGAAAGGACAGUAUCUCAGGAAUAAGUCUCGGCUAACUACGUGCCAGCAGCCGCGGUAAAACGUAGGAGGCGAGCGUUAUCCGGAUUCACUGGGCGUAAAGCGCGUGCAGGCGGUUCGGUAAGUUGGGCGUGAAAUCUCCUGGCUUAACUAGGAGAGGUCGUUCAAUACUACCGGGCUUGAGAGUGGUAGAGGAAGAUGGAAUUCCAGGUGUAGUGGUGAAAUGCGUAGAUAUCUGGAGGAACACCAGUGGCGAAAGCGAUCUUCUGGACCAUUUCUGACGCUCAGACGCGAAAGCUAGGGUAGUAAACGGGAUUAGAGACCCCGGUAAUCCUAGCCGUAAACGAUGUAAACUUGGCGUCGGUGGCUUAAACUCCAUCGGUGCCGUAGCUAACGCGAUAAGUUACCGCCUGGGACUACGAUCGCAAGAUUAAACCUCAAAUGAAUUGACGG